CUGGACGAGACUGCUGAGAUCUUUUCCAAAACAGACUAUUCACUCGCUCACACGCUCAUCGGAGGAAAGAACGAGCGAACGAACCCUGUACGAGAAUCCAGAAGAAGUAGAAUCAAUUGUUGGCUCGGUCCAAGUAUAUUUUCAGCCUCGCUUCCUCUCACUCUUCAACAGCAAUGGGUAUUUUUGUCACAAAUCAGUAGUCAGUGCUGGUCGUGGUAUGUAGUUUCUCUUGUUGGAGAAUAUUUGUUCACAAAACAAUACGUUGAAUAUCUUGCGUUUAGAAAAAUUGAGAUUCCAGUCCAACAAUUGCAUUGCGUUGAAUUAAGAAAAUGACCAUCUUCAUCACAAUCAAGUCAGUGAGAGACCAAGUUUGGUUGGAAAUCUAAUCUACGUUUGUUCCUUGGCUUGAUAUAUUUCGAUUCGUUUUUCUGCUGCCAAGUAAGUGCGUUCCCUGUCCUUCCUUACGCAUUCUUAUGGCAGUCCACAUAUGUACAUUCGAAAACGGUAGUGACACGGACAUAUUAACCAUUUCUUCAUUUUACUGACUGGUUUGUUCAUUUUCUGCCUUUGUGCAAUUGCUUGUUUUCACCUUUGAAUCACUUAUUCACAUCCUUACGGACUUGCUACUUUUGAUUAAUCAAGAAACUGCGUGGUUAUUUAUGACAUCGUCAAACGGCUUCCAAUACAUAGUCGUGUAUGUACUGGGAAUGGAAUGGUGGUUCAAAAAAAUUGACAAGUGGGUGGAAAUUGAGUACUCUACUUUGCUCACUCAAAUAAUACUGACAAUAAUGGGUUGAUGAAAAUACCUUUCUUAUUAAGCAUGUCUGCGAUCCAUGGAAUUAUAAUACGCAGAAAGGAAUGCCCCCGUUGGUUAGAGAGGUAUGCAGAUAAAUUGGAUUUGUACCCAUCAGCCAACCAUAAUCUAUUCACGUUACCUACACCACGGACAAAAUUUCCCUUGACAGGAAAUGCUGGAGAAACAGAUAAGCGAGAGGGUGCUUGAUAAACCCGACAAGUCAGUGAUCCCUUUGAAAUCUGUCACAUUUGGAAACGUGGUUGACAGUUUGAACCGUCAUUAUGGAAACACUUCUGUUCCCAGAUUUUUUGUAGCGAGUCAUUUGCAUUGUUCACAUACGGCUCCUCAACUACUUAGGAAACUGAUCCGCUUUGGCAUCAGGCACAGCCGUAAAUUUUAUUGUGGUCCAUGCUCACUUGGACUCACCUACUAAUGUCAACACCCGUCGUCGUUGGGAGAGAAGCACGCCCUCCAUAAUUUUGAAGAAUGUCUCACACUGCAAAGAUUCAUUUCCUUACGACUUCCACCUCCAGCCAGCCUAAUAACAAUAAUCACCCAGCCCCACAUUUUUGGCAAAUGAACAACACAAUGAAAAGGUAUUUGAUGGUAUAUACACACAUGUGUAUAUCGCGGUUGCUUAUAUGAUAAUGUGCACAUACAUACCAAAUUUUUGUUAUCUGUGCACCGGAUGGAUAUCAUAUUUCUAACUGAAACAAAAAUUUGAUAGUAAAUAAACCGAGACUCGCACACACAUGUUACAAAGUUAAAUAUGAACUUCAUACUUAACUCAAAUUCUAAGCCUUCAAAUUUUGGUCGAUAGUUAUUAGUUUCUCUUAAGACGUCUAUAUAAAUUUGUAAUGUCAGAAAUUAUGCGGGGUAAAAAUAUCCGUAAAAAUAAACGCUUACAAAUUUGUAAUUUA